CCAGUUUCCUUUCUCUAGAAAACAAGGCUCACAUGUCGCCCUCUGCUGGGUUUCUUGGGACCCAGACUGGCCUCAAACUUGAUAUGUAGCCCAGGAUGACCCUGAACUCCUGACUUCCUGCCUUCUGAGUGCUGGGAUUACAGGAGUGCCUCCCUACACCUAGCAGCCUAGAUGACAUGAAUCAGAACACAGAUGGAAUGCAGCUGCAGGAGCCCAGCGUACAGCCGAGACAAGCCUCUCUCCUGGGAGGGAAGUGGGCAGAGAACCAGCACCAGGCCCCAUGGCCAGCCAGCCCAAGCCCUGUGUGCUCACCUGGCUUCCCAGGGGGUCCCAGAUGUCAGCCCCACCUGCCUGGUCAUCCUG
rnacentral:lncRNA from 1 species